AUGAACGCUGGCGGCGUGCCUAAUACAUGCAAGUCGAGCGAACGGACGAGAAGCUUGCUUCUCUGAUGUUAGCGGCGGACGGGUGAGUAACACGUGGAUAACCUACCUAUAAGACUGGGAUAACUUCGGGAAACCGGAGCUAAUACCGAAUAAUAUUUUGAACCGCAUGGUUCAAAAGUGAAAGACGGUCUUGCUGUCACUUAUAGAUGGAUCCGCGCUGCAUUAGCUAGUUGGUAAGGUAACGGCUUACCAAGGCAACGAUGCAUAGCCGACCUGAGAGGGUGAUCGGCCACACUGGAACUGAGACACGGUCCAGACUCCUACGGGAGGCAGCAGUAGGGAAUCUUCCGCAAUGGGCGAAAGCCUGACGGAGCAACGCCGCGUGAGUGAUGAAGGUCUUCGGAUCGUAAAACUCUGUUAUUAGGGAAGAACAUAUGUGUAAGUAACUGUGCACAUCUUGACGGUACCUAAUCAGAAAGCCACGGCUAACUACGUG
rnacentral:rRNA from 1 species